GAAGAAGCGGGAAUUAUUCUAUAAGACGAGAAGACCCCAUGAAGCUUCAAAUAAGUCAUCAACUCUUAGCUUCACACCACCAGACACACAAUAGCCAUGAUUACUAAUUUUUGGUUGGGGCGACCAUGGAGUAAAACAAAACCUCCACAAUGAAAAGACCUAACCCCUUAUUCAAGAACAACAGUUCUAACAAUCAAUACAUUGACAUAAUUGACCCAAACCCCUUGAUCAAUGAACCAAGUUACUCUGGGGAUAACAGCGCUAUCUAUUUCAAGAGUUCAUAUCGACAAAUGGGUUUACGACCUCGAUGUUGGAUCGGGGUAUCCCAGUGGUGCAGCCGCUACUAAAGGUUCGUUUGUUCAACGAUUAAAACCCCACGUGAUCUGAGUU
rnacentral:rRNA from 1 species